CCUACGGGUGGCAGCAGUGGGGAAUAUUGCACAAUGGGGGAAACCCUGAUGCAGCAACGCCGCGUGAAGGAAGACGGUUUUCGGAUUGUAAACUUGUGUUCUUAGUGAAGUAUCAUGACGUUCGCUAAGGAGCAAGCCACAGCUAACUACGUGCCAGCAGCCGCGUUAAUACGUAGGAGGCACGCGUUGUCCGGAAUUACGGGGUGUAACGGGAGCGCAGGCGGCGAUGCAAGCCAGAGGUGAAAGGCCGGGGCUCAACCCCGGGAUUGCUGUUGGACCUGGGGGGCUGGAGUGCAGGUGGGGCAGGCGGAAUUCGUGGUGUAGCGGUGAAAUGCUUAGAUAUGAGGAGGAACACCGGUUGCGAAGGCGGCCUGCUGGAGUGGAACUGACGUUGAGGCCCGAAAGCGCGGGGAGCAAACAGGAUUAGAUACCCGGGUAGUC
rnacentral:rRNA from 1 species